GCGGAUGCGGCGAAAUUGGUAGACGCGUUUGACUUGGGAUCUAAUACAAUCGAGAGAGUUCGUGUCUCUCCUUCCGCA
rnacentral:tRNA from 1 species